AUGGCGAAGAAGGCCGCAAAGCGAGCUGUUGGUGAAGCAAGGGGUCGGGCAUAUGAGGACCUCUACCAACGGUUAGACACGAAGGAAGGUGAAAGGGACAUCUAUAAGAUGGCCAAGAUCCGAGAGAGGAAGACGAGGGAUAUUGGCCAAGUCAAAUGCAUCAAGGACGGAGCAGCCCAACUCUUGGUGAAGGACGAGGAGAUUAAGCAUAGAUGGCGGGAGUACUUCGACAAGCUGUUCAAUGGGGAGAAUGAGAGUUCUACCAUUGAACUGGACGACUCCUUUGAUGAGACCAGCAUGCGUUUUGUGCGGCGAAUCCAGGAGUCUGAAGUCAAGGAGGCUUUAAAAAGGAUGAAAGGAGGCAAGGCGAUGGGCCCUGAUUGUAUCCCCAUUGAGGUGUGA
rnacentral:rRNA from 1 species